rnacentral:rRNA from 1 species
AGAGCUUGCUCUUAUGAAGUUAGCGGCGGACGGGUUAGUAUCACGUGGGUAACCUGCCCAUGGACUGGUAUAAUUUCGGGAGACCGGGGCUAAUACCGGAUAACAUUUUGAACCGCAUGGUUCGAAAUUGAAAGGCGGCUUCGGCUGUCACUUAUGGAUGGACCCGCGUCGCAUUAGCUAGUUGGUGAGGUAACGGCUCACCAAGGCAACGAUGCGUAGCCGACCUGAGAGGGUGAUCGGCCACACUGGGACUGAGACGGCCCAGACUCCUACGGGAGGCAGCAGUAGGGAAUCUUCCGCAAUGGACGAAAGUCUGACGGAGCAACGCCGCGUGAGUGAUGAAGGCUUUCGGGUCGUAAAACUCUGUUGUU